UUUAAAGUAUUACAUGAUUCAUUGUAACGAAGCUCUAAAUGUGCUUUUCUGUUAAAUUUUUACUUAGUUUAGCUUAGACCAUAAUUAAACACAUGAAUAAAUUGUAUGGGGUAUUUGAAACUCCAACAUCUAUAGCAGUAUUUGAAACUCCCUGUAUCUUUGUAGUUUUUUGUUUGUUUUUUAACUUCUAAAUGAUCCUGAGCUAUUUUUCUCAGUGUUGCCCAAGCAGCAGUUUGUAGCAUUAGGAGAUAGAAAAACAGGUUCUGAAUGUUCUGGAUUUGUUGGGGGGAUGCCUGUUGCAUUGUUCAGGGACAGGUGCGAAUGGUCUUGAAUGUGAACCUGUAAGUGCUCUGGGGGGAUGCAUGUGUUCCUUUUAGUAUGAUAAGCAGAGAGCAUAAUAGGCCAGCCAGACAGUAUUGUUUGAAUGUAGUAAACCACAUUGAAAGUGACGGAGGAAAAAGUUUUGUAAAUAUAUUUUUUUCCAAUAUUUUUAUUUAUAAAUGCUUAUUCAUAAAACUA